UUGAAGAGUUUGAUCAUGGCUCAGAUUGAACGCUGGCGGCAGGCCUAACACAUGCAAGUCGAGCGGAAACGAGUUAUCUGAACCUUCGGGGGACGAUAACGGCGUCGAGCGGCGGACGGGUGAGUAAUGCCUAGGAAAUUGCCCUGAUGUGGGGGAUAACCAUUGGAAACGAUGGCUAAUACCGCAUGAUGCCUACGGGCCAAAGAGGGGGACCUUCGGGCCUCUCGCGUCAGGAUAUGCCUAGGUGGGAUUAGCUAGUUGGUGAGGUAAGGGCUCACCAAGGCGACGAUCCCUAGCUGGUCUGAGAGGAUGAUCAGCCACACUGGGACUGAGACACGGCCCAGACUCCUACGGGAGGCAGCAGUGGGGAAUAUUGCACAAUGGGGGAAACCCUGAUGCAGCCAUGCCGCGUGUGUGAAGAAGGCCUUCGGGUUGUAAAGCACUUUCAGUUGUGAGGAAAAGUUAGUAGUUAAUACCUGCUAGCCGUGACGUUAACAACAGAAGAAGCACCGGCUAACUCCGUGCCAGCAGCCGCGGUAAUACGGAGGGUGCGAGCGUUAAUCGGAAUUACUGGGCGUAAAGCGCACGCAGGCGGUUUGUUAAGCUAGAUGUGAAAGCCCCGGGCUCAACCUGGGAUGGUCAUUUAGAACUGGCAGACUAGAGUCUUGGAGAGGGGAGUGGAAUUCCAGGUGUAGCGGUGAAAUGCGUAGAUAUCUGGAGGAACAUCAGUGGCGAAGGCGACUCCCUGGCCAAAGACUGACGCUCAUGUGCGAAAGUGUGGGUAGCGAACAGGAUUAGAUACCCUGGUAGUCCACACCGUAAACGCUGUCUACUAGCUGUGUGUGCCUUUAAGGCGUGCGUAGCGAAGCUAACGCGCUAAGUAGACCGCCUGGGGAGUACGGCCGCAAGGUUAAAACUCAAAUGAAUUGACGGGGGCCCGCACAAGCGGUGGAGCAUGUGGUUUAAUUCGAUGAUACGCGAGGAACCUUACCAGGGCUUAAAUGCAGUCUGACGUAUCUGGAAACAGAUAUUUCUUCGGACAGAUUGCAAGGUGCUGCAUGGUUGUCGUCAGCUCGUGCCGUGAGGUGUCAGGUUAAGUCCUAUAACGAGCGCAACCCCUGUGGUUAGUUGCCAGCGAGUAAUGUCGGGAACUCUAGCCAGACUGCCGGUGCAAACCGUGAGGAAGGUGGGGAUGACGUCAAAUCAUCACGGCCCUUACGUCCUGGGCCACACACGUGCUACAAUGGUAGGGACAGAGAGCAGCCACUUCGCGAGAAGGAGCGAAUCUAUAAACCCUAUCACAGUUCGGAUCGUAGUCUGCAACUCGACUACGUGAAGCUGGAAUCGCUAGUAAUCGCAUAUCAGCCAUGAUGCGGUGAAUACGUUCCCGGGCCUUGUACACACCGCCCGUCACACCAUGGGAGUUGGUUCUACCCGACGACGCUGCGCUAACCUUCGGGGGGCAGGCGGCCACGGUAGGAUCAGCGACUGGGGUGAAGUCGGAACAAGGUAGCCGUAGGGGAACCUGCGGCUGGAUCACC
rnacentral:rRNA from 1 species